rnacentral:misc_RNA from 1 species
GAUGAAGAACGCAGCGAAAUGCGAUAAGUAAUGUGAAUUGCAGAAUUCAGUGAAUCAUCGAAUCUUUGAACGCACAUUGCGCCCGCCAGCAUUCUGGCGGGCAUGCCUGUUCGAGCGUCAUUUCAACCCUCGAACCCCCCCGGGGGCCUCGGUGUUGGGGGACGGCACACCAGCCGCCCCCGAAAUGCAGUGGCGACCCCGCCGCAGCCUCCCCUGCGUAGUAGCACACACCUCGCACCGGAGCGCGGAGGCGGUCACGCCGUAAAACGCCCAACUUUCUUAGAGUUGACCUCGGAUCAGGUAGGAAUACCCGCUGAACUUAAGCAUAUCAAUAAGCGGAGGA